rnacentral:rRNA from 1 species
ACUCCUGCGGGAGGCAGCAGUGGGGAAUUUUGGACAAUGGGCGAAAGCCUGAUCCAGCAAUGCCGCGUGAGUGAAGAAGGCCUUCGGGUUGUAAAGCUCUUUUGUCAGGGAAGAAACGGUGAGAGCUAAUAUCUCUUGCUAAUGACGGUACCUGAAGAAUAAGCACCGGCUAACUACGUGCCAGCAGCCGCGGUAAUACGUAGGGUGCAAGCGUUAAUCGGAAUUACUGGGCGUAAAGCGUGCGCAGGCGGUUUUGUAAGUCUGAUGUGAAAUCCCCGGGCUCAACCUGGGAAUUGCAUUGGAGACUGCAAGGCUAGAAUCUGGCAGAGGGGGGUAGAAUUCCACGUGUAGCAGUGAAAUGCGUAGAUAUGUGGAGGAACACCGAUGGCGAAGGCAGCCCCCUGGGUCAAGAUUGACGCUCAUGCACGAAAGCGUGGGGAGCAAACAGGAUUAGAAACCCUAGUAGUCCCAUG